GGCGCCACGACCCACUUCAACAAGGGCCCUUCCCGCGGGCUUUCGGCCGCGGUCAAGGACAAGAUGGCUUCCAAGUGUGGUCAUCAAGCAGAAGAAGACCUUCGCAAUCGGAUCGAAGAGGGGACAGGCCUGAGUAUCGACACCAACUUCCAGCUGGGCCUCAAGGAUGGCACCAUGCUCUGCGAACUCAUACACAAGCUGCAGCCGGGCUCAGGGAAGGUCAACGAGUCCUCAUUAAACUGGCCUCGGUUGGCGAAUAUCGGCAACUUUAUUAAAGCUAUCCGGGCUUAUGGUAUGAAACCACAUGACACAUUUGAGGCAAAUGAGCUCUUUGAGAAAGGAAACAUGACCCAGGUUCAGACUGCUCUGGUGGCCCUUGCAGGUCUGGCUAAAACAAAAGGAUUCCAUACAACGAUUGACAGCGGUGUUAAGUAUGCAGAAAAACAAACAAAUCGUUUUGAUGAGGGAAAGUUAAAAGCUGGCCAAAGUGUCAUUGGUUUGCAGAUGGGAACCAACAAAUGUGCCAGCCAGGCAGGUGUGACGGCUUAUGGGGAACUUUUAUGGCACCUUUAUGAUCCCAAGAUGCAAACUGACAAACCGUUUGACCAGACCACGAUUAGCCUGCAGACGGGCACUAACAAAGGAGCCAGCCAGGCGGGGAUGUUAGCACCAGGUACCAGAAGAGACAUCUAUGAUCAGAAGCUCACAUUACAACCCGUGGACAACUCGACAAUUUCUCUACAGAUGGGUACCAAGAAAGUUGCUUCUCAGAAAGGCAUGGCUGUGUAUGGGCUUGGCGGCAAGUGUGUGAUCCCAAAUACCGCGCUGCUCCGACAGAACCUGUCAUUCACAAUGGAAGCCAAGGAACGGGAAUAAAUGGGUCGGAAAUCAGUGAUAGUGAUUAUCAGGCAGAAUACCCAGAUGAAUAUCAUGGUGAGUACCAAGAUGAUUGCCCCAGAGAUUACCAAUAUGGUGACCAAGGCAUUGAUUACUAGAGUCACACAGAGGAGCUCAGUGUUUAGUCUGUUGUUUUUAUUCAGUGAGAACCAAGCUAGCCUUGAGUAAUUUUUAUCUUGUCUUCCUAAAACACUAUUGUACUUAUUGUACCUGAAAAAAAAAUGCCUUACCUACAUUCCUUUUUCUGCCUCUUCCCUAAAUAGUUGCCUUUUAAUGCUGUAAAGCUAAAUCCUACAGCAUAACCAGUGACUUGCAUAUGAAGUAAAGAGGAAGACUGUGAAAGGGUAGUCCUCUGUACAGCCAGCUCCUUGAUUAAAGGUCUAUGCAUUUUUACAGCCUUACGCUUAAACUGGUUUUCUCAACCAAUAGGAAACUAUUUUUUUUUACAGUUUAGUGUAUCUGGUUCUACAUGGAAGACUAAACUCACGCUUAUUGCUAAAUGUGGUCUUUGCCAACUAAAUCUAAGAUGCAGCAUUUUAGAAAUUUACACAUCAUUGUUCUGCAGUAUUGUUUGCUGAUUUUUAAAUAAAGUCCUGACCAGUGUGCAUUUGUGAUCACAUGUGUACUCAUUCUCUUACUAGUGGACAAGGCCUUUUUGGAGUGGUGUUUCUAGGAGUGUGGACAGAAGUGGCCGGCAGACAUUUAGGUCCAGGAGGUGCAUCUGCCCUUCCUGUUUGUGCCAGUGUGUCGAUGUGGAGUUGCUCAGUUUUCUUCAACUGUAUUUAUUGCUGCAUUUUUCAGCAUAAACUUAUCCCAUUGUAUUUUUUAUAAAUAAAUUUUUCUUUGAACAUUCAAAAAAAAA